rnacentral:rRNA from 1 species
UACGUAGGCAGCGAGCGUUGUUCGGAAUUACUGGGCGUAAAGGGUGCGUAGGCGGUCGGGUAAGUCUGAUGUGAAAUCUCACAGCUUAACUGUGAAACUGCAUUGGAUACUAUCCGGCUAGAGGAAUGGAGGGGAGACUGGAAUACUUGGUGUAGCAGUGAAAUGCGUAGAUAUCAAGUGGAACACCAGUGGCGAAGGCGAGUCUCUGGACAUUUCCUGACGCUGAGGCACGAAAGCCAGGGGAGCAAACGGG